UCCAGACCCUGGGUUCAAGCAGACAACAAGGAAGCCACUGCAAAGAUCCGAGACCUGGACUGAUGUGAUCCACUUUGUUGAUCUUAGUGAGGACUCUAGCAGCAGCAGCGUUCUGAACAUGCUGCAGCUGUCUGAACGCAGGAAACAUCAUAAAAAUUAUUAUUAUUAUUAAAACCUCUCAAAGACUCAGUUUGAAGAAUAUAAAUCAAUGCCAUAUUCUUACUUUAAUGUCCACCUCGGUGCUCUGAGAUUUUUCUGUAUUGUCUGCCUGGGAAUGCUUGGAGUCCUCACUGAGUUUGGUGAUGUUCUUGACCACCUGUGAAGAUGCACACCAAACAAUAGUCCUGCAUUAUAUCAUCAUCAUCAUCAUCAUCAUCAUCAUCAUCAUCAUCAUCAUCAUCAUCAUCAUCAUCAUCAUCAUCAUCAUCAUCAUCAUCACACUGUCAGUUGAUCCUCCAACCUGUCUGAAGGCAUCUCCUUCAUCCUCUUUGCCAGCAUUCUGGGCAAUCUUCUCCAGUGCAGCAGCCCUCUUGGCCCUCUUCUUCACUUUGAUCAGGCAGGACAGCAGACAAACCAGCAGAAGGAAAA